UUUUUUUUUUUUUUUUUUUUUUUUUUUUUGGUGUUGUUCAUGAGAGACACAGAGAGAGAGAGAGAGAGGCAGAGCCACAGGCAGAGGGAGAAGCAGGCUCCAUGCAGGGAGCCUGAUGCGGGACUCGAUCCUGGGACUCCAGGAUCAUGCCCUGGGCAGAAGGCAGGUGUUAAACCACUGAGUCAUGCCGGGAUCCCCCCAUAUCUUGGUUCUUAAUGAAAACAAUUGGAUAAGUCAAACACUAUGCAAAAUUAUGAAGCAGGCCCUAUUUGUGUUUUGUAUUACUCUACUUCCUCCAUAAAGAUACACUUCAUCCUUCAUCACUAUCAACUAUUCCUUGGCUAUCUAAGCCAGUGCAACAUCUCACCCUUAUCUGAUCAUUCAUGGAAGUUACCCCAUACCCACAACUUUUCUAAAUUCUAGGACUAUGAAUUUUAGCAUCCUUCAAAUUAUACCAAGAAGGAAGUCCCAUAUCUCCCCCUUUUACACAAUGCUACUACUCUUCCUGGCCAUUUUUCAUCUAAGCUUAUCCAAGUACAACACAAAUAUUCUGAUCAAAAGUAAGUCACUCAGAAUACUCUAAGGCAAAGAUACAUGAAAUUAUGACACCAACUUCUGACUAACUUCCAUCCUGGUGAUUUGCAACAACCAUUACAUUAUUCUCAUAGUAGACAGUAAUUUUUAAUGCCUUUCAUUGUUCAUUUUAUACUACAGUCUAUCUUUCAAAUUUCAAAUGAAACUCCAAGUUUCAAAUGAAACUUUUGACUCCUGUGAAAUAUUAUACCAUCAUCUUUGGAAAACCAUAUAUGAUUCCACCUCAAAUAGCAAAGUAUUAAAAAAGUAACACCAAGUUGUAAAUUAUCUAUAGCAAACCCAUGGAAGCAAUUCUCUAUGCAAUUAAUCCUGUCAAUACAAAUUGUCAAUGUUAGCUAAAGUUAAUAAGUUCAGUCAGCUUCCACUAAAACAAAAUCCUGACCUGCCUGAAAUGGGAAACAAAUAUAGACAUGUUACAGGGAAAGACAGCUAUGCCUAAUAUUUAUUUUAAACAUUUCUAAGAAAACAAAGGCUCUUACACAAAUUUACUAAGAAGGAGGAUUUGGGGAGUUAGUAAGGUUUUGUUGUGCAUUGUAGAUUAAAACUUAGCAUGUCAAGAAAACAAAAAAUAUCAAGGUGAGUGAUGGGGGGAAGCUAUCAGGCUAUGCUCAGAUUUUAAAAUUCAUUUCUUAGAGAACAGUAUUCUUGAAAGCAUUAAAAAUUAGUAAGUCAGAAGCCCAAAGAUUUUUGAUAUCUGAAUUACUUUAUAAAAAUAUUACAUCCCAACAGAUUAAGCUAUAGAUGGUUCUACGAGGUACUUGUUGCAUAAAGUAUCACAAACUACCAAAAGGAGAAGCAGAAGGAGAAUCACCUAGCUUGCUCACCUGCUGAUCCAGAAUGCUUCAUUUUCCUUUGAUGGUUUUGGAAGUAAACUUUUGGGAGACUUAAAAGAUGGGGAUUGAAUUUAAACAGUUUUCAUUUUGUAGUCCUCAGUGAAUUAAGUGUUUCAUUUAUAAAUGCUUCCAUGAUGCUGCCUUUCUUUGUUUACUUGAAUAAGUCUAUAUCAUGCUCUAAUACUGUAGGUUGUACUUAGUAUUUAUAAAUAUUCUAGCUAUAGGACUAAGAGCAUCCUACUGCAUUACUGCUUUCAUCUAAAAUAGUCCAAAAGAGCUUUUGCAAUUCAUUCAUUCCAUCCAUUCCAUAAAUAUUUAGUGGGUGCUAGACUGGAUUCCAAUGUUAGCUUUGCUACUUACCAGUUACAUAACUCAAGUUACUUCUCUGUGCUUUAAGUUCCCAAUCUAUAAAAUGGGAGAAGGAAUAGUAUCUACCUUAUGAAACUGUUUAAGAAUUAAAUGAAUUAAUAAAAUACUUAGAACAGCGACUGGCACAUAGUGGAACCUAGUAAGCAUUUAUUGUUGUGGUCACUUACUAGGCCCUGCACUAAUAUGGCAAGCAAGACAGAAAUAUUCUUGCUCACUUGAAAUUUACAAUCAGUAACUAAACAUAUACUUAAUUACCAACUGAAAUAAUGAGCUAUGAAAAAGAAAAAAUAGGAUUCUAUAAGAGUAUGUAACAAAGGAAUCUCCACUUGUACAUAU
rnacentral:lncRNA from 1 species